AAUGGCACAGUCAGCAAACACAUGUCCAAGAAAGUUGCGAUUCAGUUCGAUGAAACGCAACGCAACGCAUUCGACCGUCUGCGAAACAUUUUGGCGUCAGAGGACGUCAUCCUUACGUACCCUGAUUUCAAACUACCCUUCGAUCUAACUACCGAUGCCUCAGCACGUGGCAUUGGGGCGGUUCUGUCCCAAAACGGCAGGCCAAUCACAAUGAUAUCGCGAACACUAAAAGAUUGCGAAUUAAACUACGCCACAAAAGAAAGGGAGUUGUUAUCAAUUGUAUGGGCUAUAGGGAAGUUACAAAAUUACUUAUACGGUACCUUACUUACUUCCUUGUAAGAAUCUUUACCGAUCACCGGCCCUUAACAUUUGCUGUGUCCGAUAGGAACACAAAUGCCAAAAUCAAAAGGUGGAAAGCCUUCAUAGAGGAACAUAACGCUGAGGUGUUCUAUAAACCGGGUAAGGAAAACUUCGUGGCCGACGCCCUGUCCCGACAAAACAUAAUUACCCUAGAAGAAGAGCCUCAGUCUGAUGCUGCCACGAUGCACAGCGAGCUCUCUCUGUCUUACACAGUGGAAACCACGGAUAAGCCCCUCCUCAACUGUUUCAGAAACCAAAGAAUUCUGGAAGAAGCUAGCCAGCCUCUGCGAAGAAACUUCAUCAUUUUCUGCGGCAAAACCCGCCACAUUAUUCACUUUAACAAUAAGGACUCACUAAUUAAGUCAGUAAAGGAGGUUGUCAAUUCCAACGCAAAGUAUAACAGACACCCAAAGAAACAAGAGCUGGGGGUCACCCCUGUUCCGUCAUACGCGGUAGAAAUGCCACACAAUGACAUAUUCUCUACAGACAAGAAACUUUUUUUGACCUGCAUCGACAAGUUCUCAAAGUUUGCCAUCGUACAGCCCCUCUCUUCCAGGGCUAUAAUCGAGGUACGAGCACCCAUUAUACAAUUGAUAAAUUUUUACCCGAAUACCAGAACCAUAUAAUGUGAAAAUGAGCCUUCCUUCAACUCCGAAACAAUUACAUAUUUGCUUAAAAACCAAUAUGGCAUCGACGUCGUAAAUGCACCCCCUCUUGAUUGUAGCUCCAACGAGCAAGUAGAGAGAUUUCACAGCACUUUGGCAGAGAUAUCAAGGUGCAUAAAAAUCGACAAAAAGAUUGAGUACACCGUCGAGCUAAUCAUGCGCGCCACUGUAGAAUACAACAGGACGCUACAUUCGGUCAUAGACCAGAAGCCUGUAGAAGCAAUCCAUGUAAGCAACAACGAUCUGAAAUUAGCGACUAGAACCAAAAUUGACAAGGCACAAAACGCCAAUAUCGACAGGAUUAACAUUUCGAGGACAAAGUCUUUGAAGUGGGCGAAAAGGUUUACCCAAGGAAUAAUAAAAGACUAGGGAACAAGCUAACCCCGCUGUACUCAGAAGAACGUGUACAAGCGGACCUUGGAACGGCCGUUCUAAUUAGGGGGAGGGUGGUCCAUAAGGACAAUCUGAAAUAAUCAAAACUUUUCGUAUGCGAUUACUACAGAGCUAAGUUAUCAUUCCCGCAUGAAUACUGUUCCUACUCCCUUCUUCUACAAAUGCGCGGAUCACCGUCUUUUAUACCGUUAAAAUGUUCGAGUUGUUCCCGCAUUCAGACAGAGAACAUGAAAAAAUCCGUUUUCCUCUUUAAUGAUACAUCAUAGGAUGGCCAGAAGCCUAGACUUCCUGGGAACAGACGUAAGGGUCGUAGCAGGUACCCCCGAAGAGUCGUGCCUUGAAAAAAUAAGAAUAACAUAAACACAGCUUGUUGAAUCAAACAAUAGACAGGUACUGAUUAACACAGAGGCACAGAAACAGGAUGAUAAUUUCGGAAGUCCAAAAUCUCAUGCUUACGAUCACAUUUGCCAAAGCGAAUAUACCACAAAGAUAUAAAAUCUAUUUUUACCGAACAGCUCACAGAGGUCCCAGUAGCUAAUUUGUAUCAAAUAUAAGAAUUUGUCAAUAGAAUACCCCCAGGUUAAGAUUAUCUGUAAGAAAGUCCUAAUGUUCCGGUAGCGCGUAACAACACCGUGCUACAAAUGCACGACAAUGUCGUGGCGGAAAGCGACGAGGGGAUCGUAGCCGUCAGCGGGUGCGCCACAACGAACUCCGUUACGUUUAGCAAGAAAGAAACGCACGACACCUGCGCUCGCGAAGUACAUGCCGGCGGCUCUGCUUCAUGCCGCACGCAACCCCGCCACCUGGCCAUCACCAUCCUGUUGCAUCAAUCCUGAGUAGUUGGACGAUGGCAUAAGCAUCAUAAAUGGGCAGCGAGCAACGAUCAGCGUUGACAAUGGACCCCUAAUGACGACAAGAGGGGCCAACCUCAUCACGUUCGAAGACAGAACCGUGAUCAACAGCACCCUGGUCUUAAACCUCAACAAAGCAUUGAGGAAAGUUCCAGGCAUCGUAGCUUCGCCUUUGCUGUCCAUAACGGGUCACGAUGAAGUCCUAAGCCUACCACUACUACAAUCGAUGAAGGAGCACAAUCUAAGGAUCAUCCAAGAACUUAGAAGCAACAUGACCUGGUUUAUUGCAGGAGUGCUAGCCUCAUGCUCUGUGGUCUUACCCUGUUGCAUCAAUGCUGGAGUCGGAGAAACUAAAGUUGCAAAAGGUCAUCAGAGAGAUAGGUAUCGCCGAGGACGGAGAUGAUUUAAGGGGGGAGUAGUUAACACAUUAGAUAUAACGUGUAAGAAAUUAGGCACGAAUGUUCCUGUGCCACCCUAACUUAGCGCAUAAGAAAUACGAAUUAUCAUGGGCCGCCUUAACUUAUCCAGUCUGAUACUGAGGGCGCCGAUGCAGUAGAUCCCGUUGCGGGAUCUCUCUUAUCUGAUUGGGCGCCAGCGAUCGCAUGAUUUUGUUUUGUGCGCGGGCGGCUCUUAUCUCUUUUGUGCGCUGCCGGCUCGCCAGCUAAGUUUCGGUUUAGGUUCAGAAGUAAGCUUCAGUUUAGAAUUG
rnacentral:lncRNA from 1 species